UAAUCUAUAUCGCUUAAUCUGAAAUCAGAGCGGGGGAACCAAUUUUUGCGGCGCAUCAAGCCGCUUGGGGUGAAUCCUUUGUAGGUAGGGCCAACUCUCAUCAGCCCGAAUCCGUCAGCUAACCUCGUAAGCGUUUAUGAGAGGAGAU
rnacentral:sRNA from 2 species